UCUGUUUAGCGUUAUACCAAUCACACUCCCACAUUGCCUCAACAUCCAGACCAUACGCUUUUUAUAAUAUUUCGACUUUGUCAUCAAAUUGUCUUCCGAGCAAGCCGUAGGGCACUUUUGAUAACGGAUGUAAAUGGUUGGGAUUACAUGCCUGCCAAUCAUGCCCGUGAAACAUACAACCAUUGAAUUCGUAUCGUUGGGGAUGAAGCGAGUUCUCUAUCUCACCAGGAGGAAAUGAACGAGGAUGCAGAUGAAGAUAAGGCAUAAUCAGCUGAUACAUCUGGUACUCAAGAGGAAAGCUUUUCAGCCACAGCACCAGAUGUCGACCCACCCAGGACACAAGGUUACUCUCGAAGAAAGAAAUCUGCGAGAUGCACUGUGAUCUCUCAGCAUCAGCAGUUCAUGAUACAGAUGAUGAGGCAAUAAAAUUAAUGGGUUCAAGACCAAAUCCAGCAAUCCGAGCAAAGGGAGGAGAGACUCCUUAGUGCUUUAAUUGAGAGCAAUGUCCGUUCCACCGAGCACAUUAUAUCAAUACUUGUUGAGGGAUUCCAAAGCACCCACAUCCAAUGUUUGCACCUCCUUCACUGCACCCCCCCACACUUUCAAGGGUAUCACACACAGCCAUCUAACUAUACCCUGCAUGGUUCUACUGUGUCAAACACAUCCACUGCUGAACAUGGGUCAGAAGAAGCAAAUGAAUAUGCUCGAUCAUAUACUCACCUGUGAGCAGCCUGCCAUUAGGUAGCAGAAAACCUGCUUAUGUAAAAUACUUUGUGAAUGCCUGUAUUGACUUGAGUUUAGAUGUGUUUGCCUACCUCAUAUUUGCCUGUGUUACAGGAAAGAAUGUGCCUUGUCUUUUGUUAUAUAAAUUUGUUAGUAAGUGAAACCUUUCAUUUUUUGAAAAAAAAUAACUAAAUAAAAAAAUUUAAAAAAUUCAUCCAUCCAGUUUCUGUCCAUCCUACAGGGUCAUGAGAUACCUGGAGCCAACCUAAGGGAGCAUGGGGCACAAGGCAGGGUACACCCUGGAUGGGGUUGAAAUGUUUUUUUUUAAUUAAACCUCUAUUUUUUGUAAAGUAAUAUUUACCAUAAGUGAGCAGAACUUGAAGAGGUCCCUUUCUUAUUAUCCUUUUUGUUGUGUCCUUUUUUGCACUUCAAACCUGUGUGCAGUGUUCCUGGAAUUAAGGCAUACAAAACCCAACAGAAACUUAAAGAAAUUGCCUAGUUCACAUUAAAAUAAAAAGUGCAGCACUUCUUCAUAAAAUAACUUCUUGAAUGCAGUUAACAUCACAGACUGGAGAUAAUAACGUUGAACAAAUACUAAGAAGUGUGACUUUCCAAGCUCCUCAAAGCAAGCAAAUAUGCUGAAUGUUAACCACUUGUGCCUAAUGUAUACUCCUCCAAAGGGGAAAUGUUGCUGCCAUGUAUGGUGAUAAUGCAUCUCUCAUGACAUAAGCAUCUGUGCUGGUUCUGUGGUGCACUGUGGGGCUGGGGUAAGGCUCUCUCCAUAACUGUUGCCUCCUCCAUCCAGCAUUGGGGGACCUUCUCCUUUUCUCGUUCACAAAAAUUGUGCAGUGCACAACAUGUAAUCAUGCAAGGUGAGAAAGUGAAGUGAAAAUAUCACUGCAUUUCAGGAGCACCCUCCACCUAGACUUCAGUCUCUCAAAAGCAAUCUCCACUGUUGUUCUUGUUGAGCUGAGGUGAACAUUGAACGACUCUUGUUCAGGUGUUAGGCCUAGAGACUGUGGGUAACACUUCAUCAGUCAGUCCAUGAGUGGAU
ensembl:lncRNA